rnacentral:rRNA from 1 species
GGACUACUGGGGUUUCUAAUCCCGUUCGCUCCCCUGGCUUUCGCACCUCAGCGUCAGCGACUCCCCAGGACCCGGCCUGCGCCUUUGGUAUUCCUCCGGAUCUCUACGCAUUUCACCACUCCACCCGGAAUUCUAGGUCCCUCUGAAGCCCUCAAGCCCGACCGUCUUCCCGGCACUCCUCUGGGUAAGCCAGAGGCUGGCACCGGAAACGCGCCAGGCCGCCUGCGUGCCCUUUACGCCCAGUAACUCCGGACAACGCUUGCCCCCUACGUAUUACCGCGGCUGCUGGCAC